UGAGAUCUCCUGAUCUUUAAAAUAAAAGAUGGCUCCGGCCUAUCACUACGGGAUGGGGCCCGCGGCGCAUUAGCUAGUUGGUAAGGUAAUGGCUUACCAAGGCGACGAUGCGUAGCCGACCUGAGAGGGUGAUCGGCCACACUGGGACUGAGACACGGCCCAGACUCCUACGGGAGGCAGCAGUAGGGAAUCUUCCGCAAUGGACGAAAGUCUGACGGAGCAACGCCGCGCGAGUGAUGAAGGAUUUCGGUUCGUAAAGCUCUGUUGUUAGGGAAGAACAAGUGCCGUUCGAAUAGGGCGGCACCUUGACGGUACCUAACCAGAAAGCCACGGCUAACUACGUGCCAGCAGCCGCGGUAAUACGUAGGUGGCAAGCGUUGUCCGGAAUUAUUGGGCGUAAAGCGCGCGCAGGCGGUCUUUUAAGUCUGAUGUGAAAGCCCACGGCUCAACCGUGGAGGGUCAUUGGAAACUGGGAGACUUGAGUACAGAAGAGGAGAGUGGAAUUCCACGUGUAGCGGUGAAAUGCGUAGAUAUGUGGAGGAACACCAGUGGCGAAGGCGACUCUCUGGUCUGUAGCUGACGCUGAGGCGCGAAAGCGUGGGGAGCAAACAG
rnacentral:rRNA from 1 species